rnacentral:rRNA from 1 species
UACGUAGGGUCCGAGCGUUGUCCGGAUUUAUUGGGCGUAAAGAGCUCGUAGGCGGCUCGGUAAGUCGGAUGUGAAAACUCGGGGCUCAACCCCGAGACGCCAUCCGAUACUGCUGUGGCUUGAGUCUGGUAGGGGAGAACGGAAUUCCUGGUGUAGCGGUGAAAUGCGCAGAUAUCUGGAGGAACACCGGUGGCGAAGGCGGCAUCCUGGACCAACACUGACGCUGAGGAGCGAAAGCCAGGGGAGCAAACGGG